AUUGAACGCUGGCGGCAGGCCUAACACAUGCAAGUCGAGCGGAGCGGCGGACGGGUGAGUAAUGCCUAGGAAUCUGCCUGGUAGUGGGGGAUAACGUCCGGCAACGGGCGCUAAUACCUCAUACGCUCAGAUGUGCCAAGAUGGGUUUAUCUAGGAGGUGGGGUAACGGCUCACCGAGGCGACGAUCCCUAGCUGGUCUGAGAGGAGGACCAGCCACACUGGAACUGAGACACGGUCCAGACUCCGACGGGAGACAGCAGUGGGGAAUAUUGCACAAUGGGCGCAAGCCUGAUGCAGCCAUGCCGCGUGUGUGAAGAAGGCCUUCGGGUUGUAAAGCACUUUCAGCGGGGAGGCGUUACCCGCAGAAGAAGCACCGGCUAACUCCGUGCCAGCAGCCGCGGUAAUUC
rnacentral:rRNA from 1 species